GUAAUUGUCUUACUCUUAAAGAUAAUAGGAAAUAGUAGGAAAAUGGUAAAGAUUUCACUUCAGUUUUUUGUGGAUACCUGCAAUGCAACUUCUCUAAAAUUUUCUUAACUGUCCAAUACAAUGGACAGGUUGCACGUAGUGGUCAUAGUGUUCUUAGAGCAAGCUCAGUUUUGAUUUUAUUUGGGGGUGAAGAUGCAAGGAGGAGGAAGCUAAAUGAUCUACACAUGUUUGAUCUUAAAUCCUUGACAUGGCUGCCGCUUCAUUGCACGUGAGUUGCUAAAGGACAUAUCAUUCAUAUCAUUACUAUGUUCCUGCUCCUUGGGCCAUAGAGGAGGAAGCUAAAUGAUCUACAUAUGUUUGAUCUUAAAUCCUUG
rnacentral:lncRNA from 1 species